UUUUAAGUCAAAUUUAUAAUAUACAGUUGAGCACCGUUGCCUCGAUAUUCAUGGGACCAAGAAAAAAUAUCGA